rnacentral:rRNA from 1 species
UACGAAGGGGGCUAGCGUUGCUCGGAAUCACUGGGCGUAAAGGGUGCGUAGGCGGGUCUUUUAAGUCAGGGGUGAAAUCCUGGAGCUCAACUCCAGAACUGCCUUUGAUACUGAAGAUCUUGAGUUCGGGAGAGGUGAGUGGAACUGCGAGUGUAGAGGUGAAAAUUCGUAGAUAUUCGCAAGAACACCAGUGGCGAAGGCGGCUCACUGGCCCGGAUACUGACGCUGAGGAGCGAAAGCAUGGGGAGCGAACAGGA